rnacentral:pre_miRNA from 1 species
GAUAUACUCCCUCCGUUCCAAAUUAUUUGUCGCAGGUAUGGAUGUAUCUAGAUAUAUUUUAGUUCUAAAUACAUCCAUUUCUACGACGAGUAAUUUGGAAUGAAGGAAGUAUGUU